UUGGAGGGCAAGUCUGGUGCCAGCAGCCGCGGUAAUUCCAGCUCCAAUAGCGUAUAUUAAAGUUGUUGCAGUUAAAAAGCUCGUAGUUGAAUUUCGAGAUCAAUUUGUUGGUCGUGCCUCGGUACGUACUGGCAAUUUUGAUUUCUCCCUUCUGAAGAACCAUGAUGUCAUUAAUUUGGUGUCAUGGGGAAUCAGGACCGUUACUUUGAAAAAAUUAGAGUGUUUAAAGCAGGCUCGCGCUUGAAUACAUUAGCAUGGAAUAAUGAAAUAGGAGGUUUGAUUCUAUUUUGUUGGUUUCUAGGAUCGACGUAAUGAUUAAUAGGGAUAGCUGGGGGCAUUAGUAUUCAAUUGUCAGAGGUGAAAUUCUUGGAUUUAUUGAAGACCAACUACUGCGAAAGCAUUUGCCAAGGAUGUUUUCAUUAAUCAAGAACGAAAGUUAGGGGAUCGAAGACGAUCAGAUACCGUCGUAGUCUUAACCAUAAACUAUGCCGACUAAGGAUCGGAUGAUGUUAAUUUUUUAAUGACUCAUUCGGCGCCUUACGGGAAACCAAAGUGUUUGGGUUC
rnacentral:rRNA from 1 species